AUUGAACGCUGGCGGCAGGCCUAACACAUGCAAGUCGAGCGAGCGGCGGACGGGUGAGUAAUGGAUGGGGACUGCCCGAUAGAGGGGGAUAACGACUGGAAACGGUGGAUAAUACCGCAUACUAUCGGAGAACCCAUAUAGGAUUAGCUGGUAGGUGGGGUAAAGGCUAACCUGGGCGACGAUCUCUAGCUGGUUUGAGAGGAGGACCAGCCACCCUGGGCUGGGGACACGGCCCAGAUCCCUACGGAGGAAGCAGUGGGGAAUAUCGGACAAUGGGGGCAAGCCGGAUGCAGCCCUGCCGCGUGUAUGAAGAAGGCCUUAGGGUUGUAAAGUACUUUCAGCGGGGAGGCGUUACCCGAAGAAGAAGCACCGGCUAACUACGUGCCAGCCGCCGCGGUAAUUC
rnacentral:rRNA from 1 species